UACAGAGGUCCCAAGCGUUGUUCGGAUUCACUGGGCGUAAAGGGUGCGUAGGUGGUGGGAAAAGUCUGAUGUGAAAGCUCCGGGCUUAACUCGGAAAUGGCAUCAGAAACUCUCCCGCUAGAGGGUUGGAGGGGGGACUGGAAUUCUCGGUGUAGCAGUGAAAUGCGUAGAUAUCGAGAGGAACACCAGUGGCGAAGGCGAGUCCCUGGACAACUCCUGACACUGAGGCACGAAAGCUAGGGGAGCAAAC
rnacentral:rRNA from 1 species